rnacentral:lncRNA from 1 species
AGAGAAUGUCUCCUUUCCAAAUUGGAGCAGCCGCUGCUACUCCCUCUAAAAGAGCUCAACGGCAGAGACAGACUGAGCGCACUGCUGUGCCUUUUCUCCAGACGUCUAAAUCCUGGGCGCCUUCGAAGGAGACCAGACUUCACCUUGGGGACAACUUUGGGGGUUGCCAAAAAGUACCCAGAACAUGAGAUUUCCCCUCUGCAGAGCCAGGAGGACGCGCCAGCGGUCUGUCGGUCAGACACACGUGGUAAACCGCUCUCGGGCGCUCAGGAAACUGUGUGGGGACAACAGAUAGAAGACAGAAGGCGUUCGUUGGACGGCGAGGAAGUUGUCUGACAUCCAGGAAGCAGGCAGAUGCCCGGUCAGGAAGGCAAGAGGAGUGGCAAGGAGACGUGCGGCCGACAGCAGCCCUGCAUGGGGACAGAGCAGGGAGGAGGCCUGAGGUUCAGCUGCGCGAAGCGAGGCCUGCCAGACCCUAACGGACGGGAGCCGGGCCUCCUUGGGGACCGCGAGCUCAGGAAAGAUGGCACGUUCGUGUCUGCAGUGCUUUGGAGAGGCAGACGCAUUCAUCCAGUCAAUCAACAAACGCCGCUGCCGACUGCUCAGCAGGCACCCGAGCAGGAGGUGGGACUGAACUGUGACCCGCUCUCAUCAAAGCCUCCCUCAGGGUCCCAGGGCUGCGAACAUCAGGGCACCCAGGCCUGUCCUCCGGGCACUUCAGGAACAUUGAGGCUCUUAGUCUGUUUGCUUGGCUCUAAUGGACAACGCGGCGGGGGCUUAGACGACAAGUGUGUUCCUCACAGUUCCGGGCGCUGGACGUGCACGGCCGACAGGCCAGCGCGGGGUCCGAGGAGGGCCCUCUUCCGGUUCACAGACGGCGAGUCCCGCCUGGAGGAAGGGUGCGGGCUCCCCGGCUCUCUACACGGGCGCCGAGCCCGUCCGGGGCUCCACCCUCAGGGCUCCUCGCCUGCGGCCACCAUCACACAGGAGUCAGGGUCCCUCCCAUGCAUCUGGGGACACCCGGGCCGCGCAGGCAGCUCUGCUGUGUGCGCUCACCGCCUCUCUGACACCCACAGGUGUCGCGUUCGGUGACCAGGCUGGGCAAGUGGAAAUCCAGUGACUGAGGGAGCACCUGGCCGCUGGGAGGUGUCUCCAGACCGCGGCACACGGCGUCGCACGAGCCGGCCUGUGCCAGAGCCGCCUGGCGACUCCUGCCGAAUCGGGCCAGGGACGGAAGCAGAGCGACCCCAGCAGCGCGCAGCCCGAGGUGGUGUCGGAAGCGCUCGGAACCUGACCUUCUACCACCGCGUUUUCACCUGCUCGCAUCCGGAACCGGGGAUGCUCCUGACGCGGGCGCAGGAAGAGGCCUCGGAGGCGGGCAGGUGUUUAAAGAUGACGUCGCAGGAGGUUCUGCCAGGCUGUGGGCUGAGGGGGUGUGUGUCCCUGUGACCCCGCGAAAUCAGUGUGCUUCAGCACCAGGGAGGUCCCGCCGAGCCUCCAGCCCUGUCCUGAACCCCAGUUCAGUCCAUGAGCUCAAGACCCAGCACACGAGAUGCUACAUGUCUGCAAGACGUAGACGCUUCCUAGUCCACGGCCUGCGCUUGAGGGAGGGGCAGUUUUCAGAUGUCCUGCAAAUACGGAGCAUCUCUGGGGGACAGUGUGCAGGGCCAGCCCCUCAGAGCAGCCACCAGGUCUACCUCUUACCCUGCCCCCCAGCCCACCUCGCCUGCCUCCGCUGCCCAGCGUAUGUAUCAGCUGGCUUGUCCUCAGCCAGCACCACGCCUGCCCCGGGGCGUGAACCGCAGAGACGCAGCCUUCUUCGUCCGCCGCAUCUCCAACAACUGCAGCAGGUCUUGGCCUGUGGCAGGACUCCGGUAACUACUGCUGAGCGGAUGCAUGAAUAUUCACAUUGAUGACAGUGGGAGAGAACAAACGAGCAGCAAAACCUAAGAAACUAAGUUAAUUUUCACUUGGAAUUCUUGAAAUUUUCACUUGGAAUUCUUGAAUUUGACUUUCUAUAUUCUGUUACAAUGUUGAGAACGUUGCAAAGGAUAAAUCCUGGAUGUCAGUAACCCUUAAUCCGAAAGGUGACCCUUCCCUGAAAGGCUCUCAGGCCAAGGCGGCAGAGGCGACACUUUGGGAGCUUUCAGGCGCACCCCCCGCCCCCACCUCCAGGCUCUGCUCAUCUCAGAAAGACACGCAAGCACAGUCUGGAAGCCAAACUCAAAACUUCUCCUGACGACGUAAGGAGACACUCACCAACAGGAGAGCUUCCAGAAGCUUCCCCAGGCCACUCGGCCUUAGAAACUCCCACCCUGAGGGCCCUGAGACUUCCGGGACAUUGCUGGACCUGUGACCGCAAGCAGGUGCUAAUGGCCCUGUGACCAUGAAGCCACCAGAAAGCUGCUGGCAGGUGACGGACCCUCGUCUGGGUCCUGGGUAAAGACUCGCUGUGUGUCACAGUGGUGGGUUCUCACGUUUGCUGCGUGUAGAAAUCCAGCCGCCUCACUGAGGUGCACCAGGGUUAUGGGUUGGUUCUGGUGGGAAACGCUUUGUGGGGGAGGAAGAGUGGAAAGGUGACCACGGGAAGCCUCUGAGCAUGGCUGGUGCUCUGUGUGUCUCGUUAUUGUCCCAUGUCCCCCCCAGAGCAACACCUGAUGAAGGGCUUGGGGAGGCCCAGGGUGCGUUUGUAAGCAGCGCCCCCGCGGAUGCGAUUGACGGGUGGGGUCAGACGAGGGGAGCCACCACCCCGAGUCCUCUCUGGGUUUCCACAAAGCAGCGCCCGUGGCAAAACAGGAAGCAGGGAAGAUGAAGGCGGGCGAGGGGAGCCAGCGCCCUUCCCCCCGAAAGGCAGCCGAACAACGGCCCCCAGGACCUCAUGGUCUGCGCAGUUGGUAGGAGGCGAUCCGGGGAACGGACACGGGAACAGAAACGGGCCAGCCCCAGCCGGCAGCGAGGGGCCGCCGUUGCGGGCAUGGUGUUCAGCCGGGGCGCGGCCCGUCCACAGCGCGCUCGGCGGCCAGGUUUGCUGGGGCUGGUGCAGGAGCACUGAGCCCACUGUAAGGGUCUCCCGCCCCCACCCUGUGUCCCAGGCCGCAACGUGGAGGGACCACGGCCCAGCCACCCCGCCAAAGCUCCCAGAACAAUUGUCUGCCCUCCUGAGGCGGGAGAGGGCCUCAGGGCUGCUGCUGUGACCCUGGUAGUGACUCUCUAGGGUAGACCCUGGAAGUUUCCAGAACAACAGAAAGUCAGGGGUGCCAUCAUGGAGUCACUUCCCUGGGGGAGUGGUCUGCUGUGUGGCUGUCACAGAUGACCGUGGCCCUGAGUCACGGCAGCCGGAGAUCAGAACUCCGACGUCUGCCCGAGGGCUCCCCUGCCCGAUGGCUGCUCCUGGAUCCCCCAGGCGUCCGUGCAGCCUCCACCCCGCCAGACACUGCCCUCGGUCAGGGUCCCGGGUUGCCCAUGGGUGCAGGAAGGACUGGGCAGCAUUGGUUGUCUCCUCUCCCUCUGAGUGAGCUUCUCUGCCCGCCUGCAGCUCUCCUGUCCCCUGCAGAGCGCCAGGCGCUGUUUCCUUCAGGGAAGCAGGCUUUACAGUCCCAGGGUCAUCGUUGGGCACGUGGAGGUAGACACUCGUGAGCCUAACCCUUCAGGGUUCCUCCACGUAGCGUCACACCCACGCCUCCGGCUGGCCCGUCCUCUCACUGUGGAGUCAGCUCCUUACCCAUCAUGAUGGGAUUUAUGAGGCGCGGGUUUUCAGGAACAGGGCUCCCUCCCCCGGCUCCGGAGCACGCGGCACAGCCCUGCUGACGCCCAGAUCACCUGAUAUAACUGACAACCGUUAGGGUGAUGGGUGGUGGUUGCUAUGACGACCAUUUAGCCCUGAUCAGAGAGCAUCCCAGACAACAGGGCCAGCCCCCUGCACAGGUGGUAAAGCCAGCCUACAGCAGGGCCCUCGAGCUCAAGGCCGAGCAGGAGGUUAGGCGGUCAGGGUGAUGAGGACAGAAGCCGAGUUCCUGGGAGGACGAAGGCAUGAUGCCGCUGCUCAGUCAGCCUGGAUGGUCGUGACUUCUCGGUACCUGGACUCAGUUGAAAUAAAGUCCUUUCCUCUCAGCUCCGUCGGGUUGUGGGGUCGGGGUGCAAUGACACCUAUGUGGUCCCAUCCCCGUUCCUGGCACUGAGCUCCCAACCCUGGGGGUACUUGGGCGAUGGAGGUGGGGGGGCCAUGUUUGCUUGUCAUGACAGCCCCUCCCACCCACAUCUGGGUUUAUACUAAUGGGGCAACUUUGGAAAAGCCCUAAAGAUAGGAGCCAUCUGCCAGUGGAGCCACAGCCACGUGACUAGAGGGUUGGACCUUCUCCGAGGUCCAGGGGAGGGUGAGCUGGUCACCAGUGGCCAGUGAUUUAACGGCUGCCUAAUGAAGCCUCUGCAGAAAACCCUCACCAAGGGGCCGAGAGCUUCCAGGUCAGAAUUUGGAGGUGCCAGAGCGAGGCAGGUAUUGCCCCUGGAGGACUCAUCUCUGCCCCUGCCCCGCCCUCUGCAUCUCUUCCACCCUGUUGUUUCUGAGUUGUGUCUUUUAUAAGGAACAGUCAGCACUCUUCUGUCCAGCCAGUCGGUUAGAAGCACAGUGACGCUUGGGACUUGGGUGGUGUCUUGAGGCAAUAGUUGUGCAGGUUGAGCCCUUAUCUGUGUGGUCUGCACCAGCUGCAGGGGGAAAGUGUAAGUGAAUUAAUUCAUAGACCCCCCAGUCACGUCUCAGAGAACUGCAGAGUUGCUUGCAUGGGAACCCACUCGGCUGGUUUAGAAAGUGUGUCUACACCAGCACUGGGCCACUGGAGAACAAAGUCUGCAGGGACCUUGGGGACCAGGGCCUCGGGGUUGAGGGCCCCGGCCCAAGACAGAGAGAGGAGACCUUCCCCCUCAGUGCCCCCAGCUCCACCCUGGUCCUUUGCGGCUCCUCUGCCCCUCCAGUCUGACCCCCACCGACCACCCACUUAAACUAGCUACUUCAGGGAUAUUGAACAUCUGUGAGGGUUAAGUCUGGCUGAAUGUAACACAUGGGCAGAAAAAAAGGAAAAACCAUACAUGACUUAAACGAAAUGGAAAGUUGGUCCCUUCACUGAGCUAAGUCCAGUGGCAGAGGGUCGGGACAGAGUUGAUGGCUGCCUCGGCAGGGCCCUCUUGCUCCUCUGCCAUUUUUUUGACUUCGGCCUCAUGGCUGAAAAAGGCUGCUGUGACACCAGCCAUCACUUCCACACACCACAGGCAGGAAUAGGGGGGUGGGGGGGCUUUCACUCUCUCCUCUGAAGCCAUUGCACCCACUGGUUCGGGUUGAGUCCCAGGCUGUACCUGGCCACAGGGAGGGUGGGGAGUCCUGUCUUUGCUGGGGCAGAACGGGCCACACUACACAAUUGGAGUUCUUUUCCCCGGGGGAAGGGGUGUGCAUUCUGUACAGCAACCAGUGUCCUGUGUCUCCCUCCUAACUAGAAAUUAGCACCUCGCUUGCACACACACCAGACUAGUGCCACAUUACGCACUUCCCCAAGUCUCCCCCCAGCUGUGAUUAGCACCUCGCAUGCACACGCACAGUGAUGCUGCAGUGCACACUUCACGCCCACCCGUGUGCCUAGUCCUCAUCUCAGCCCAGGCGGGAGGUCAGCUUAGUUUAGGUAACCAGCCAGGGUUACCAGCAAGCUGCCGGUGUGCAGAAGACUUGAACUAGCGUGUCUCACCCCGCUUCUCGCACCUGUUCUGGAGCGGGUCCGAGGACAGACCUGGAGCAGCGCAGAGGGCCCCCGGCCAUCUCCUCCCGGCUGAGCCUGCCAGGGGUGAGACAGCCCAGGAAUAUCCGUGUGCUGUGGGCUCCGCCAAAAUAAAUAA